GAUCUGAGCGACGCGUCGGUUUACGUGAAUGUCUCGGGGCGAGAAACACGGCGAAAGGUGUUUGUGUGCCCGCGAACAGGAAAAUAUACCAGCAGGUAGCAGUCACUGAUGCUUACUGCCCUUGUUCUGUUAAUAAUCCAUGGGAGUAGCUCAUUUUGACCCAGUUGUAAAUAAAAGAAGUGCUGCAAUGAACAGUUCUGAUAACAAAUCAAAGUUGGACGCAAAAUGCGCUGUUUUGAAAUUUGCCCUGUCGUUUGUCCCAGGAUUUAUGAAAAUUAAUUCAACAGUUGAAGGGUUGAAAUAAAUCCGACAAAAUAGGUAUCUAUGUAAUGUGUUAAGUAAGCUAAGAUGUUUUCCCGCCACAUUCCAGUUAAUUUAACUUUACUUUUCUACCAACUUCGUCCUUAGGGGGUUUUUCUUGUUUGAUAUCCACACCGUUAAGUAAGCGCUAGCGGCUAUGACAUAGGCAACAGAACCUAGGGACGAGAAUUCUUUUCUAUAUUUUAAGAAUCAGUUUAAAACAAAACUUUGCUUUCAUUUUGGUACAUGGAAAAAACAGUGAAAUAUCGAUCCUGUUUUCAAACUAAUCUUAGACUUAACAAGAAUGCGUCACGAGAAAAAGAUCAGAAUUCCUACAUUCAUAGCAGGAGCAAAUUAAUUGGCAGUUCGCUUACACUUUUUUUUGGAAGGGAUGUACUUUAUUUUAUACUAUUUCAGCCUUCAAUGUCUUGUUGUGUUCUUCAGAAAAAUUGCAAAAUCCAUUUUCAUAAUUUAAUGCCAGUUGCGAAACUCAUUUUCAAAGUUAUUGUUAGUUCUAUACUACGUUAUUUUGUUUUUAUUAUCUAUGAAGAAAUUCUGACUAAGAAUUUCCUUAACAUGUUCUUUAUUUUUGACACAAUCUUCAUCUCAAAGUGUUUUAAUACAACCUUCUUAUCAAAAUAUUAUCUUUUUUUGUUUAUGAAAAGCAAAACAAAUAUUCCGUGAAGCGUGUAUUUUGUGUAUAACUUUUAGUUUUAUAAACAACCCAAAAAUUUUGCUGAUCCUAAACUGUUCCUCACUUGUUUCUUCUUGACUAUCUAUCUACAAACGAAAGACGGCAGACCAUUUGGAACCAUGCCACAAGUCAGUCCGACCUUCAUCGUCACAGAGAAUACUGCGAGAAGAGUGCGCACCCAUGCAAGUUAAAUAAAACCAGAACAUGGGAGAGGUUAGGUGCUGUGAAAUUAACUUUUUAGACGAAUGUUCCUAUAAACAAUUAUCAUACCGAGGAGUGUGCUUGGGAUGGGUCGUUAGCUUAAUUAUUUGUUUUAUAUAAUAUUUUUAACUCUUUUUACUUUCGUCUGCCUGACCACAUGAUAUGUUUAAAGUUCAUAUCGCUUUACUUACGUAAAAGCCCAUAAUGACUGUAAUUGAAUAUGUUUUGUUUUUAGUUUCGUGUAUUAGACCACGAUAUUGUCUAUGCGUAAAAUCAUCUAGCGCAAACACACUCCUUCGUAAAAUUCAAAAAUAAUAAAUCUUUUUUAGUACACACAUAUUUUGUAUUCAUCUGUCAGAAAACUUACCUUAUUGUUUUCAUUGCACGCUCGCUUCUAUUAUUUAGGCUUCUUUAUGAUUGAAUCCAAGUCCCCAAUCUCUGUAAUUAAAAGAAAACAAUCCAUCACUAUUACUUUUUUUCGGUUACCCUGACAACUUAUCGCUAUCACUUUCGUCUACUUGACCAUAUAAUGACGUAUAUUCAUUAUACGCAUUGUGAUCAAAUGUUUAUUUGAUCACAAUGACACUAGCCAUUUAAACAUUUACGGUUUCAAGCUUUUUUAAUUUUCUGAUACAUGGGAUAAAAAAUAAUAUUAAAUAAUAUACGUUAAUGAUAUAAUACAAAUUUUUAAUUUUCAAUAGAAGUACGUGCUCUUUCUUCGUAUAUGCUAAGAAAGGAGAAGUUUGGAAUGCAAAUAAGUUCAAGUGUUUAUUUAUUUAGUUACACAUCUUGUCAUAACCAUUGUCAUAAGAUGACAAUAAGUCAUCAUUUUUUAAUUUUUCACACUAUCUUACACAACGUUUUUGUCAUCAACUAAUUUUUUUUGGAACGUAUGUGAAAAUACAGUACCAGUGUUUUAACUCUGCUCCCCUCCAUAACUUUUAAUAGGCUUUUCCAAGUGCGACUAAACUUGAUACAAAAUGGAUGCAGUGGUACCUGCUUUAAAUUUAAUUCCUUUAAUUUUUAAUGAUAGGCAAACUCGUUAUUUAAAUUAUUUUUUCUUUUUUAAUUUUCGAAGAAAAUCCGAAAAAAUCGGGAAGUCGGGUUAAUAAAUACAAAACAAAAUUAUUCCCCUUGACGAAAUAUAGUUGUGUUAAGAGUUUAAUGUUUUUAAGAUAAGAAUUUCUUUUAAAUAUAAGGGGUAUUUUUGAGUAAUAGCCAAUACAUACCACUCUGAGAGGGUUAAAAAGGUUUUUUGGUACUCCGUUUUUGCUAAGCAAUAAAUAGGGCGACUUUUUGUUUGAAAUUUAUAUCUAUUCAAGUGUUUAUUUGUUUAAUUGCACACAGCUUAUCAUAAGAUGGCAUAAGUCAGUUCUUGUACUUUCUGUAUCGAUUUCUCUUAUCAAAAUCUAUACUUGACAGAACUUUCGCUAUUUUAUUGAAACUUGCCAUUUCAUUUUCCAAUAUCCUAUAAUUACAGUUUCUAUAACCCGUCAUGACAACAACAAUGACAAUAAGUUUGUACUUUUGUUUUAUUUUCAACGUCAACUUAGACCAAACAGACUAAGCAUAAACAAAAUAGAACAAAAUUCAAUGCAAAUAAAAGAAGUUGUCUGGAAUGUAAACAUAUAUAAGUGUUGAUUUGCUUUCUUACGUAACAUUUGUCAUGAGAUAAUGACAACACAAUUACUGUACUUUGUACCUAGUACUCUUCUCACGAACUAAGUUUAUAAUUCACUUUCCGUAUUGCUUUGGAGUUUUAAAAAGAUAGGAAAAUCGCUUAAACUUUCUUGUUGGAUAUCCAUAGCUCAAAAGAUUAUUUAAGACAUCAGAUGCUCUUACGUUUUUAAACUUAUCCACAAACUUGUAAGACUGGAAAGUAUCAAAAAUUAUAUUCAGGUUUAAACUAAAGACAAACAAACAAACAAACGAAGAGAAAAAGAAAGAAAAAUAAAAAUAAUAAAUUGGUAAACUUGCCUUUUUUUGACUUGUCUUUUAUUUCAAAAAUCUGUAUGGCUUUCCUCACUGAAUGGUAAAGUUUUUUUCUAACAAUUGACCAACCCCGUCUGAUUUUAUAGAUUGUCACGAGUUCUAUGAUUGGUUUCAUAAAAAGCCAUCUCUUUGUUCACAAUUUUAUAAAAACAUUCCCUAUUAACGUAAUACAAAACCAAUUGUGAAUGUGAUAACCAAUCAAAUCCAUUUUCAUAUUUACGGUAGCCGUUUAUUAUUGUAAACAGAGAUCACAUGAUUACAGCAUUUUUUUUAGCUCUGCUAUGAUUAAGAUUACCAUGGUACAUUAUCCGUUAUUAUAUCUUUUGUUAACUUACCUUAUCGAUAAGGAAAGGUGGUUAAAAAGUGACCACAUGUUUGCUAGGCAACCAUUGUUUUUUCCGGUUCUUAUUUGGCAUUUCUUAUUUUCUGCCCAAUUUUUUUUGCCUAAUUUUCAAUUCAGUAUCUACAUGUGAAACCACAACAGCAAUAAAAAAAACAUAAAAAACAGAUUGGUAUCAGUCUCUGUGCUAACUAACGUGACCAGUGAGUGUAGUUGAGCAGAGGGAAAUGGAAGCGGAAAAUAUGUUUAAAUGAAAGAAAAAGAAAAAUUAAUUAUUAAAAUUGACAGAUUUAUAGACAGACUUCUUUGUCCUCUUCUUUAAACAUCUUAUAGAGGAAAAAGGCAUUGGAAAUUCAAACUUUUGUUUUGUUUUAAAAAAGCGUGAAUCGUCAUUCAUAUUUUUAUUCAUAUAACUUAACGCAACAAGAUGGAAAGAAAUAUCACAAUUGUAAACACGACAUAUAUGUUAACAUUCCAUGUAUUUUGAAAUGGUCUUAGCUGUCAAAUUUAGAAAAACAUUUAAUAUGUGUGUAAUCUCUAUAAAUCUAGGAAACCAGCGCAUAAAAGAUCCGUUUUUUAAGUUGUACAAAGUUAAACACUUUGAAAAGCUUUAUUAGCCAGAAUCACACUGAGUAGUAUGGAAAAAUAUG